AAAUAGAGUGUCAAAGCACGGCAGAUCAAUUUUCUGCCACCGAAUACAUUAGCAUGGGAUAAUGGAAUAGGACCCUGUCCUCCUAUUUUCAGUUGGUUUUGGCAGCGCGAGGCACUAGGGUAAUGAUUAAUAG
rnacentral:rRNA from 1 species